rnacentral:tRNA from 1 species
UCCCUGGUGGUCCAGUGGUUAAGACUCCUCGUUCGCAAUGCAGGGAGCCUGGGUUUGAUCCCUGGUCAGGGAA